rnacentral:rRNA from 1 species
GGCGGGACACGUGGUAUCCUGUCUGAAUAUGGGGGGACCAUCCUCCAAGGCUAAAUACUCCUGACUGACCGAUAGUGAACCAGUACCGUGAGGGAAAGGCGAAAAGAACCCCGGCGAGGGGAGUGAAAAAGAACCUGAAACCGUGUACGUACAAGCAGUGGGAGCACCCUUUGGGGUGUGACUGCGUACCUUUUGUAUAAUGGGUCAGCGACUUAUAUUCUGUAGCAAGGUUAACCGAAUAGGGGAGCCGGAGGGAAACCGAGUCUUAAUUGGGCGUUAAGUUGCAGGGUAUAGACCCGAAACCCGGUGAUCUAGCCAUGGGCAGGUUGAAGGUUGGGUAACACUAACUGGAGGACCGAACCGACUAAUGUUGAAAAAUUAGCGGAUGACCUGUGGCUGGGGGUGAAAGGCCAAUCAAACCGGGAGAUAGCUGGUUCUCCCCGAAAGCUAUUUAGGUAGCGCCUCGUGAAUUCAUCUCCGGGGGUAGAGCACUGUUUCGGCUAGGGGGCCAUCCCGGCUUACCAACCCGAUGCAAACUGCGAAUACCGGAGAAUGUUAUCACGGGAGACACACGGCGGGUGCUAACGUCCGUCGUGAAGAGGGAAACAACCCAGACCGCCAGCUAAGGUCCCAAAGUCAUGGUUAAGUGGGAAACGAUGUGGGAAGGCCCAGACAGCCAGGAUGUUGGCUUAGAAGCAGCCAUCAUUUAAAGAAAGCGUAAUAGCUCACUGGUCGAGUCGGCCUGCGCGGAAGAUGUAACGGGGCUAAACCAUGCACCGAAGCUGCGGCAGCGACGCUGAUGCGUUGUUGGGUAGGGGAGCGUUCUGUAAGCCUGUGAAGGUGGCCUGUGAGGGUUGCUGGAGGUAUCAGAAGUGCGAAUGCUGACAUAAGUAACGAUAAAGCGGGUGAAAAGCCCGCUCGCCGGAAGACCAAGGGUUCCUGUCCAACGUUAAUCGGGGCAGGGUGAGUCGACCCCUAAGGCGAGGCCGAAAGGCGUAGUCGAUGGGAAACGGGUUAAUAUUCCCGUACUUGGUGUUACUGCGAAGGGGGGACGGAGAAGGCUAUGUUGGCCGGGCGACGGUUGUCCCGGUUUAAGCGUGUAGGUGUGUGUUCCAGGUAAAUCCGGUUCACUUUAACACUGAGGCGUGAUGACGAGGCACUACGGUGCUGAAGCAACAAAUGCCCUGCUUCCAGGAAAAGCCUCUAAGCAUCAGGUAACAUCAAAUCGUACCCCAAACCGACACAGGUGGUCAGGUAGAGAAUACCAAGGCGCUUGAGAGAACUCGGGUGAAGGAACUAGGCAAAAUGGUGCCGUAACUUCGGGAGAAGGCACGCUGACACGUAGGUGAAGUGAUUUACUCAUGGAGCUGAAGUCAGUCGAAGAUACCAGCUGGCUGCAACUGUUUAUUAAAAACACAGCACUGUGCAAACACGAAAGUGGACGUAUACGGUGUGACGCCUGCCCGGUGCCGGAAGGUUAAUUGAUGGGGUCAGCGCAAGCGAAGCUCCUGAUCGAAGCCCCGGUAAACGGCGGCCGUAACUAUAACGGUCCUAAGGUAGCGAAAUUCCUUGUCGGGUAAGUUCCGACCUGCACGAAUGGCGUAAUGAUGGCCAGGCUGUCUCCACCCGAGACUCAGUGAAAUUGAACUCGCUGUGAAGAUGCAGUGUACCCGCGGCAAGACGGAAAGACCCCGUGAACCUUUACUAUAGCUUGACACUGAACAUUGAGCCUUGAUGUGUAGGAUAGGUGGGAGGCUUUGAAGUGUGGACGCCAGUCUGCAUGGAGCCGGCCUUGAAAUACCACCCUUUAAUGUUU